GGCGCGCCCCGGGCGGGGCGGGGGCACGGGGGGAACGCGAAGAACCUUACCAAGGCUUGACAUACACCGGAAAGCAUCAGAGAUGGUGCCCCCCUUGUGGUCGGUGUACAGGUGGUGCAUGGCUGUCGUCAGCUCGUGUYGUGAGAWGUUGGGUUAAGUCCCGCAACGAGCGCAACCCUUGUCCCGUGUUGCCAGCAGGCCCUUGUGGUGCUGGGGACUCACGGGAGACCGCCGGGGUCAACUCGGAGGAAGGUGGGGACGACGUCAAGUCAUCAUGCCCCUUAUGUCUUGGGCUGCACACGUGCUACAAUGGCCGGUACAAUGAGCUGCGAUACCGCGAGGUGGAGCGAAUCUCAAAAAGCCGGUCUCAGUUCGGAUUGGGGUCUGCAACUCGACCCCAUGAAGUCGGAGUCGCUAGUAAUCGCAGAUCAGCAUUGCUGCGGUGAAUACGUUCCCGGGUCUUGUACACAC
rnacentral:rRNA from 1 species